rnacentral:lncRNA from 1 species
AUGUUCAUGCAUAUGUGCUCUUUGAUUUCUUUGCUUCUUGCCUGCAUAUAUGUCAUCUCCAAUGAAGUUGAUAAAUUAGCAUGGAGAAAAAGCAUGGACUCAAUUCCCAUGGUUUCACUACCCCACAAAAAAUAAUCCCCUUCAAAAGUGUUGGUGGACUAUUCUAGGUCUCCAGUCCUAUUCCAUGGCCUGCAGAGUUAUCCAUCAACGGAAAGGAAACCAGGAGAUAAUCAUAAGUCUAAAACAACCCACAAAAAUUUAACAAUAGAUGAAAUUGCCCUCAUGGACCUCCUGGGAACAGGAGACUUUUCAUUGAGAAAGAAAUAAAGAAAACAUUUAAAAAUUCAAAGCAUGUGGUGGGAAGGGAUGUGGCCAAUGUGGUUUUUUGGUUCUUGGCAAUAAUCCACACCCAAUAAAAUGAAUUGUGC